rnacentral:rRNA from 1 species
ACGGGAGGCAGCAGUGGGAAUAUUGCACAAUGGGCGGAAGCCUGAUGCAGCAACGCCGCGUGCGGGAUGACGGCCUUCGGGUUGUAAACCGCUUUCGCCUGUGACGAAGCGUGAGUGACGGUAAUGGGUAAAGAAGCACCGGCUAACUACGUGCCAGCAGCCGCGGUGAUACGUAGGGUGCGAGCGUUGUCCGGAUUUAUUGGGCGUAAAGGGCUCGUAGGUGGUUAUCGCGUCG